GAAAGGGAAAAAACAGAAGAAGAAGGAAAUCUAGCAUACUUGCAAAUUUACAUAGGAACUUCAUAGCCUCUCUGCAAACUCCUUUGAAAUAGAUACAAGGGUUUUUCAUCUCGCAAUGAAAGUUGGUGCUUCCUCCAAAUGCACAAUCAUUCUGGUUCUCCUAACAAAGAAAUCCUUUCCGUAGCUCAUCAAAAGGCUCCUUUCCCU
rnacentral:lncRNA from 1 species